GGAUCGUUUCCACAAUAGUGCUAAACAUGCUAUAGAAACUCUGUGAUAGAACCAAUGUUUUUUUUUAAUAAUUAGUACGCAUUAUUCAGCAACAACUCCUUCCUUUUUUAAACUGUGGAAAUAUUCUAACAUCAGAUACCGCCACCUAGUGGACUUGUGAUACUCCGCAAGGCAUGGCACCACGACUUUUAAAUGGAUUAUUUUGGGCAGAUCAGAAUCAGAAAGAGUUUUAUUGCCAGGGAAGCAGAAUAUCAGUAUGAGGAGGUGAUGGGCAGCAGAAUAUCAGUAUGAGGAGGUGAUGGGCAGCAGAGGUCCGAGGAGGUGAUGGGCCGCAGAGGUCCGAGGAGGUGAUUGGCAGCAGAGGUCCGAGGAGGUGAUGCGCAGCAGAGGUCCGAGGAGGUGAAGGGCCGCAGAGGUCCGAGGAGGUGAUGGGCAGCAGAGGUCCGAGGAGGUGAAGGGCCGCAGAGGUCCGAGGAGGUG
ensembl:lncRNA